GUUCGGUGAACGGUCGGGUGAGAGGGAAUCCGGUGUGAAUCCGGAGCUGUCCCGCAGCGGUAUGCCGGAACGACCGCCGUCAACGAGCACUGGACCUGCGGGUCCGGGAAGCGACGGCCAGUAGGAGCCACGUCCAUCGACGUCGCACGCCGGUGAGCCCGAAGACCUGC
rnacentral:ncRNA from 2 species